GCAGUAGUAGCUCAGUGUUUAGAUCGCCGGUCUUGUAAACCGGACGCCGAAGGUUAAAACCCUUCCUACCGCU
rnacentral:tRNA from 1 species